rnacentral:tRNA from 1 species
UGCAUCAGCCGGGAAUCGAACCCGGGCUGCCCGCGUGGCAGGCGAGCAUUCUACCACGGAACCACUGAUGC